UUGUUCACUUUGGCAGCAUACAUAUUAAAAAUUAAAACAAUGCACAGAAGAUUAGUAUGGCCCCUGCACAUUCAUGCACAAAAAUCAAAUCCAUAAGAUUCUC
rnacentral:snRNA from 1 species